rnacentral:rRNA from 1 species
GACGAACGCUGGCGGCGUGCUUAACACAUGCAAGUCGAACGGAAAGGCCCUGCUUUUGUGGGGUGCUCGAGUGGCGAACGGGUGAGUAACACGUGAGUAACCUGCCCUUGACUUUGGGAUAACUUCAGGAAACUGGGGCUAAUACCGGAUAGGAGCUCCUGCUGCAUGGUGGGGGUUGGAAAGUUUCGGCGGGUGGGGAUGGACUGGCGGCUUAUCAGCUUGUUGGUGGGGUAGGGGCUUACCAAGGCUUUGACGGGUAGCCGGCCUGAGAGGGUGACCGGCGACAUUGGUCCUGAGGUACGGCGCAGACGCCAACGGGAGGCAGCAGGGGGGAAUAUUGCACAACGGGCGGAAGCCUGAUGCAGCAGCGCCGCGUGCGGGAUGACGUCCUUCGGGUUGUAAACCGCUUUCGCCUGUGACGAAGCGUGAGUGACGGUAAUGGGUGAAGAAGCACCGGCUAACUACGUG